rnacentral:misc_RNA from 1 species
UCCGGUUUGGCACCGGCAGUCCCCCGAGAGUCCUCAGCAGUUUGCACCCUGUUAGCAACACGGGGCGGGGGUUGCGCUCGUUGCGGGACUUAACCCAACAUCUCACGACACGAGCUGACGACAGCCAUGCAGCACCUGGACACCCGGCUCCCUUGCGGGCACAUCCACAUCUCUGCGGACUUCCGGGGGGUUCCAACCCAGGUAAGGUUCUUCGCGUUGCGUCGAAUUGAACCACAUGCUCCACCGCUUGUGCGGGCCCCCGUCAGUUCCUUUGAGUUUUAGCCUUGCGGCCGUACUCCCCAGGCGGGGUGCUUAAUGCGUUAGCUUCGGCACGGACGGAGUCGACACCGCCCACACCUAGCACCCAUCGUUUACGACGUGGACUAC